UACGUAGGGAGCAAGCGUUGUCCGGAAUCAUUGGGCGUAAAGCGCGCGUAGGCGGCCCUGUAAGUCCGUUGUGAAAGUCAAAGGCUCAACCUUUGAAAGCCGAUGGAUACUGCAGGGCUAGAGUCCGGAAGAGGCGAGUGGAAUUCCUGGUGUAGCGGUGGAAUGCGCAGAUAUCAGGAGGAACACCAAUAGCGAAGGCAGCUCGCUGGGACGGCACUGACGCUAAGGCGCGAAAGCGUGGGGAGCGAACAGG
rnacentral:rRNA from 1 species